AGAAGUGAGAAUGCCGGUGUGAGUAGCGAAAGACGGGUGAGAAUCCCGUCCACCGAUUGACUAAGGUUUCCAGAGGAAGGCUCGUCCGCUCUGGGUUAGUCGGGUCCUAAGCUGAGGCCGACAGGCGUAGGCGAUGGAUAACAGGUUGAUAUUCCUGUACCACCUAUAAUCGUUUUAAUCGAUGGGGGGACGCAGUAGGAUAGGCGAAGCGUGCGAUUGGAUUGCACGUCUAAGCAGUAAGGCUGAGUAUUAGGCAAAUCCGGUACUCGUUAAGGCUGAGCUGUGAUGGGGAGAAGACAUUGUGUCUUCGAGUCGUUGAUUUCACACUGCCGAGAAAAGCCUCUAGAUAGAAAAUAGGUGCCCGUACCGCAAACCGACACAGGUAGUCAAGAUGAGAAUUC
rnacentral:rRNA from 1 species